ensembl:processed_transcript
GCAGAGAGCGUUGUCAUGGAAACAGAGCAACGACACGACACCUGCCCGUCAACAGCACUUCUCUCAUGCGGCAGUUUUCACUAAUUUCAGAAGUGACGAAAUUACCCCUACGACAGAAGAAAAGAGCCAAGAUGGGGAGCUAAUCACAGAGCUGGAGGAAACACAGAUUUUGGAUCGUCCUCCACUCACUCUACCACUUUGUUUUUCCUUGCCAGAUUUCAUUCAAGAAGCCUGCUACAAGAGAGACAGCGGAAGGGAGCCUCCAAGACAUUUUUAUUAGGAUCUGCUAAUCAUGAGGGGGCAGACAAAAGAACCUGCAUUUUCCUUCAGCUUAAUAUCAGGGGUCGCCACAGCGUAAGGAACUGGAUAUUACUUUGGCAUAUGUUUUACACAGC